rnacentral:lncRNA from 1 species
CAGCCUGGCCAACAUGGUGAAACCUCAUCUCUACUAAAAAUACACACACACACCCCAAAUUAGCUGGGCGUGGUGGUGCAUGCCUGUAAUCCAGCUGCUCAGGAGGCUGAGGCAGAAGAAUGGCUUGAACCCAGGAGGUGGAGGUUGCAGUGAGCUGAGAUUGCGCCACUGUACUCUAGCCUGGGUGACAAGAGUGAAACUACAUCUCAAAAAAAAAAAAAAAAAAAACAAGAAAAGAAAAAGAAACAUCUACAAUGAAGAAUCACACCAGUCAUACUACAACUAACCAUACUUUUAAUCAAAAGUGACUGAAAAACAUAUUUUCAGACACGCAAGGAUGAGAAAAUUUAUGCUCAUGCACCUCUUCCGAGAAAGGCACUUAAGGAAGCAGUCUGGUAAAAAGUGAGUGAAAGCCAGAGAUACACAAAAAGCCAAUACAUGCAUGAAAAGUUCCUCAACAUCGUUAGUCAUCAGGAAAAUGCAUAUCAAAACCACAACCAGAGACCACUUCAUGCCCACUAGGGUAGCUAUAAUCAAAGAGAUGGACAAGAAAAAGUGUUGAUAAGAACGUGGGGAUAUUAGAACCCUCACACAUUGCUCAUGGGACUGUAAAAUGGUGCAGCCACUUUAGAAAAUAGCUUUGCAGUUUCAGCAUAACCAUAUGACCACAGAAUUUCACUCCCAGGUAUAUACAUAAGAAUAUUGAAACAUAUGUCCAUAAGGAAACUUGUAUACAUCUUUACAGUAGCAUUGUUCAUAAGAGCUAAAAGGUAGGGCCGGGCGCAGUGGCUGAUGCCUGUAAUCCCAGCAUUUUGGGAGGCCAAGGCGGGCAGAUCAUGAGGUCAGGAGUUCAAGACCAGCCUGAGCAAUAUGGUGAAACCCUGUCUCUACUAAAAAUACAAAAAUUAGCCAGGCG